rnacentral:rRNA from 1 species
AUACGGAGGGUGCAAGCGUUACUCGGAAUCACUGGGCGUAAGGCGCGCGCAGGCGGCUAUUUAAGUUGGAUGUGAAAGCCUACGGCUCAACCGUAGAACUGCAUCCAAAACUAUUUAGCUAGAGUGUGGGAGAGGAAGAUGGAAUUAGUUGUGUAGGGGUAAAAUCCGUAGAGAUAACUAGGAAUACCAAAAGCGAAGGCAAUCUUCUGGAACACUACUGACGCUGAGGCGCGAAAGCGUGGGGAGCAAACAGGAUUAGAAACCCUAGUAGUCC